rnacentral:rRNA from 1 species
AGAGUUUGAUCAUGGCUCAGAACGAACGCUGGCGGCAGGCCUAACACAUGCAAGUCGAGCGCCCCGCAAGGGGAGCGGCGCACGGGUGAGUAACGCGUGGGAACGUGCCCAGAGGUCGGGAAUAACGGCGGGAAACUGCCGCUAAUACCCGGUAAGCCUUGAGAGGGAAAGGAGCAAUCCGCCUUUGGAGCGGCCCGCGUUGGAUUAGCUAGUUGGUGGGGUAAAAGCCUACCAAGGCUACGAUCCAUAGCUGGUCUGAGAGGAUGAUCAGCCACACUGGGACUGAGACACGGCCCAGACUCCUACGGGAGGCAGCAGUGGGGAAUAUUGGACAAUGGGGGAAACCCUGAUCCAGCCAUGCCGCGUGAGUGAAGAAGGCCCUAGGGUUGUAAAGCUCUUUCGACGGGGACGAUGAUGACGGUACCCGUAGAAGAAGCCCCGGCUAACUUCGUGCCAGCAGCCGCGGUAAUACGAAGGGGGCAAGCGUUGUUCGGAUUUACUGGGCGUAAAGGGCGCGUAGGCGGAUUUGCAAGUCAGAGGUGAAAGCCCUGGGCUCAACCCGGGAAUGGCCUUUGAGACUGCAAGUCUUGAGUGCGAGAGAGGGUGGCGGAAUACCCAGUGUAGAGGUGAAAUUCGUAGAUAUUGGGUAGAACACCAGUGGCGAAGGCGGCCACCUGGCUCGCAACUGACGCUGAGGCGC